AUGUGGUGUCGGGGGGCAGUGAAGCAGGAAGUAGGCGAGGUUGGGGUGGGACUCACUCUGUUGAUAAGCACCCUGGGCCACAGGGAUGCACACACUGUCAGCCCUUCUGCUCGUAAAGCUUUGGGGCCAGAGGUAGUCACAUGGCCCCUGGACCAACUAUCAGAGGCUGGAAAUGUCCGCAAGUGCCCAGGCCGUUUGCUCAGCCCCAUUGCCUCUUUUACCGGCCGAUUUUGGUUUGAGUUGAAUUCUCUCUUUUGAACUUGGAAUUCAAAAUGUUAGUGACAGCAUUUAGUCAACUUUUGCCUGCAAUAGGAGCAGCAGACCUAUUGAAUGCAUUACAUGAGAUCGCGUGUAUUGCGUUGUAUAAGCUUUGGGGCCAGAGGUAGUCACAUGGUCCUUGGACCAUCUCUCUUUUAUGGCCUCACAUCUCCUGACCCUGUAUUAUUUUCAAAGUCCCUUCACAGACUUCGUCUCAUCUGAUUGCCACAGAAAGAGAAUCUGUCAGAAGGACUGCUGUGCUUCCUUUUCAUUUCCUCCAGUCCAACAGCUGCGGGACCUGGGAAACAAGAUCUAUGGUGUAACGAGGGCGUAUCCUGUUAACCCUGGGACUCAUCUACCACACGGGAUUAGAGUCUGAGGCAGUAUUAAUUUUACGCCUGGAACUAGGUCUUGGUGGACUGCUACUUCAUCUCUUGCUCACUGUUAAUGAUGUCAGAGAUAGCUCGGCUCCACUUUGCCUGUGUUUGGGGAAACUGAGAAGAUUGGAGGCCGGAAGGCGGUGGGUGGGUGGCAUGGGAUUGGCAGUGCUGAGUCUGGGAGGCAAGGUUAAGCUCUACUGCUCCCCAGACUGUGCAAAACCACGUGCUGGGCGCUGUUCACACCCUUAUUAGAGUCUUCGUUGCAGGGGUGGUGAAAAAAGUUAAGAGAGGAUUCUAAAAAUAAAAGCGCACUAAAAUGAAAACAAAAUGUGAAAUGGCAUGGAAAUGGCAUGGAAAGAAAGAAGUAGUUGGAAGUUCUGGAUUACGGAAUGAUUCCCUUUGGUCGUGGCGAGGGCCAACUUCGAUUUCAACUUGUCCUUCUCAUAUAUUUUCUUAAAACGUUCUUGCCCGUAAAACAGAAGAGAUCCCCCGGACUGGUUUCUGAAGAAGGCCAAUGAUGAAUUUGUUUACCGAUUGACUGGCUGUGCUCAGCACGUCCGAACCAGGCUCCAGGCAGCCUUUCUGCAAGACGUUCUUCGCCGUUCUUCCCCCGUGUGGACAUUUGGCUUCUUCCUUCACUGUCUUUGGCCCUGGUGAUAAAAAGAGGAACAGACUCAUCAGUGAGGAAGAGAAGUCGCAAGCCAAAAGCGCAGAGAUAUUCCGGAACUUUCCAGGUGGGAGAGAAAGAAGAACAGAACGGGCGGGAAAAGCAACCCCAGCGUUCAGGGUUAACACUUUGCUUUUUGAGGAACCUUCAGUGCUUGGAAGGCUUCCAGUCUGAACUCGCAGAGUUCAUCAACAGGAAAACAAAUAGCUGGCAUGCUCCGUAUUUACUCUGCCUUUCUCAAGGUUGCAACAUAAAUUUCCCAACUUUGCAAGCUGUUAAAGCCGAGGAGACAUUUCGUGAGCUCGGGGCCUUCCCUCCAGUCUGUGUGACUCACGUGUGGCCCCAUUUUGGGAAAAUGUAGGUAGCAGCCCUCCGGGCUCGGGGGAAGACAGUGGCGGCACUGUGGACGCUCCCAGAGCAGACAGUGGGGGCGGAACGAUGGCCGGAAAACCUGAAUUCUCCAAACGAGAGCUGCCGGGCUGCCUUGGAAAAAAUGCACUUCGGCCACAGGAGCGAAAGCUCUGAGACCUUGCUGGGGGAAUUUAUAGCCGGCUCGCCAUGCAAAAUACCCAACGGUGUUUUAGUGAAGUGGUGUCCGAAUUGUAAUAUAGCUAGAUCAAUUCUGGAAGCAACCUUCUUCAACACCAUGGGAAUAUUUGUGUUCUCACUUUCAACAUUUCCAAUUAGCAGAGAAGCUAAUGCUGGAAACCACCACAUAUAAUCCAGAAAAAAACUGUCACCCUAACAUUAUAAAAAUUGAAUAUGUGUCAGAAGGGGAUUUAGAUUCUUUAGGUUAAUAUUAUUUUUGCUAUUAGGUAAUGAACUGACAUUAAUUUACUCGAGCUGCAUGAUUAGGUUAAUUUACUCCAGAAUAAUCUUGCAUUUUAAAAAUUAAAAAUGGUGGCCGUAUCUUCUCAUUAUCAAUCAAAGUAGCAGCAACACUGCAAAAACAUCGCCAUUUUGUACUCAAUUGUGCUCUUACAGACAGUCAAAUAAGCACUAAAAAUGACAAAUUACCAUGCUCAGAUAGAUCUUCAUGUUUAAGCACCUACAAAAAACUGUCCAUUUGUGAAUGGUUAAACUUAAUCAAUUAUUUUUCCUAUACGCAAGAUACCCUUUUUCACAAAUAGAAAUCUACAAACAAUAUUAGAGCAGUUUAAAUCUUAUAUAUAGGAAUGCUACAGCAUAGAAAAACAAAAUAAGCUCACACACACACCAAAGAAAGCUAAACAGUUUAUCCUUUUUUGACCUUCACAAAUAUAAAUGCUCUAUAUCUAUGGCUCUAUAAAUUAAGUCCUUUAAUGAUUCCAACGUGCUGAUAAUGUUCCUGCACUUGCUGGAACUAUGAUUCUGUUAAUACUUUGAAAAUUACUUUAAUUAACUUUAUUUCAUCUUGUAGUAGUUAUAGAACACUUUUAUAUAUUUUAAGUAUGCAUUAAUUUGUAUCAUCAUUAACCUUGGGUUUUGCCCUUGGUAAUUGUGGUAAUUUGUAAGUUGGGUUGAGCGAGGGGCCAGCGCCUUAGAACAAUACAUGUUGUGGGUCCCGUCAAUAGCUUGAGUAGGCAGGAGUCUUCCGUUUACAAGGGACAGAAAAAUAACUUGGAAGGGUAGAAGUAGAGGGGGCAUGGUUCAGCUGAAAAUUCCCAGGGAUGGAUUUUAUGUGGCCCGUGAGUGUGAUGGAGAAGGAGGGAAUCUUCUGAAUGGCCACGUCUGAGUUGGGCACCUACCCCACCCACCCCAACUCCUCCUCCUGAGAUGACAGAGGGAGGAAUCUGUUACAGAUGAAGAGGGUGGGAGAGGACACCCCCAAACAGUGUCCACCAUAACAGUUAAUCCAAUUUAUUUUAAAUUUUUAUAUCUUAAUAGUAAGAGCGUGUGCUCUGCCCCUUUCUUUUCUGACACAUCCAGACAGCCAAUUCCUGCCACCAUAUGUAACCUAGUUUGGGAUUUUUACCUCUGUACCCGCAAUUCGUCACAACUCUAAAAAACCCAGCUUUUCACCCUCACUGGCUUUCUAGAAACCUCGGUAGUAUCCAAUUCAUGGGCCCUGUGAGGCCCAUGACAGGGAUGCUAAGGCCAAGUUCCCUGCCCUCAGGGAGUUUAUGGAGGGAUGGAUGCUGCAGUCAGCUGAGUAAUUCGUGGGCAGGCACAUCUUUUCUCUGGAUGUGCCCUGGCAGGCCAGAAGAGGGCGGAGUGAGUUUCAGCAGAGGGGACCCAGCUGUAAUUACACAGCUGCAAACAACACGCUCCUUUCCUGAUUUGGAUUCUGUGUGAUGAAAAUUCUCAGUUCCAUCUUUCUCUAUAUUAACAUUACCUCCAUUCUGAGCACAUCGUGUUCAGUGACAGAAAAUGAUAUCACAUGAACCACAGAAGAUACUCAAUAGUUUAAGUAUAAUGUUUUAUAGAUGUCAAAGUGACAUCAUUUGAAGAAUCAGUGCUUUCAAAGAGCCAGAAUGCCUUCUAUUUAUUCUCCUCAUGCCCAACAGUUUUCAAGGUCUUGGUCUGCAGUCAGCUCCGCUCUGGGUGGAAGAUACGUAUUACUCCCUUGCAGACCACAGAGGGCUCAGGGGAGGUCAUGCCAGGCCCAUCCCCCUGAUGGUACAACUUACAUCUCACAUUGCUGCCAUGGUUGAGAGGGGUGUAUUUGUCUAUAGCUGCCCAGCAGGUGGAGGAAAGGUAUUAUAUGAAAAGGAAAACUCCUGGGUGGGUAGGAGUUUGGGCCAAGCCUUUCCUGCUUCUACAUAGAAGGAUGAGUAGUGGGGGGUCAGAGGCUGCAGUGCGUGCGGAAUUAUAAGACUUUUUCAGAUCAAGAUAAGGUCUUAGAGGUCACAUGGUUCUAUGCCCUUCUUUUACUAAUGAGCAGGAAGAUGGUGACAAAUUCCUUAUCACACAACCAGAGCAAGGCCCCCAGGCCCCCGGGUGGGUGAAUGGAAGUCUUCAUUGAUGCCAUCUUCUUUCCUUGCAUGUCCUGUGUUGAAGGCUAACUAUUUAACAAACAAUCCAAAUCACAGUGACUCAACACAAUAGGAGUUAUAUCUUGCUUGUGGACCCAGUUUAAUGUCACUGUUAGGUGGGCACCUUCCAUGCGGUGAUUCAGGGACCCAAGCAUCUUUUGUUCUGUGGGUCUUCCAUUCCCGGCAGCUUAGAAGUUACUUGUUGGACUUAGGCAGAGAGGGAGAGUGAAAGAUUGUGUAGGAGAUGGGCAAGACUGGAAGUGGUGUCCCUCACUUCUACCCAUAUUCCCCUGGGCUGGAGGCCACUCAUGAGGCCGUACCUUACUGCAAGGGAGGCUGGGAUAUGUAGUCCAGCUGUGUGCAAAGCAAGGAAAUAGAUGGGUUUGUGUAAGCACACGGCAGUGUCAUUUCAGUCUUUGGGAAGUUUAUAUUGAGCAGUGGAGGACACGUGACCUUGGGACCUGGACAGACUUGGAUUUGGAUACUGGUUUUGUGGCCUUGGGCACAAAUCUCAGUUUGCUCAGCUGGGGUAAUGGGAGUAUUCUGUGGGGUCACUGUGAGCAUUAAACGAGAUAGGGGAUGUAACAUGUCUGUGCCACAGUACUCUCACCGUGUUUUUACAAGCCACUGGGACUAGGUGGAGUAGGGAAGAGGAGGAAACAGACAGGCUUCUUGUGUCCCCUUUUGACCAAGCCUGGGUGCCAGAGCUGCCAAGCAGGGCCCAGCCGAGUCCAGAAAACAUGCUCCAUUAGGUGCCAAGAAUGGGGGCACUUUCCUCGGUCUCUUGCUGAAUCUCAAAAUACUGUAAUUCAUUCUCAUCAACAUGGGAUUUUGAAAGGAAAAAAAUCCAGAAAAACCACAGGCAUCCAUUUCAUUUGAUUAAUAAAAAUUCAGUCACUUUGCAUGCA